GUCGUACGCUUCUUUUUCCCCGGAGCUUGCUCCACCGGAAAAAGAAGAGUGGCGAACGGGUGAGUAACACGUGGGUAACCUGCCCAUCAGAAGGGGAUAACACUUGGAAACAGGUGCUAAUACCGUAUAACAAUCGAAACCGCAUGGUUUUGAUUUGAAAGGCGCUUUCGGGUGUCGCUGAUGGAUGGACCCGCGGUGCAUUAGCUAGUUGGUGAGGUAACGGCUCACCAAGGCCACGAUGCAUAGCCGACCUGAGAGGGUGAUCGGCCACAUUGGGACUGAGACACGGCCCAAACUCAUACGGGAGGCAGCAGUAGGGAAUCUUCGGCAAUGGACGAAAGUCUGACCGAGCAACGCCGCGUGAGUGAAGAAGGUUUUCGGAUCGUAAAACUCUGUUGUUAGAGAAGAACAAGGAUGAGAGUAACUGUUCAUCCCUUGACGGUAUCUAACCAGAAAGCCACGGCUAACUACGUGCCAGCAGCCGCGGUAAUACGUAGGUGGCAAGCGUUGUCCGGAUUUAUUGGGCGUAAAGCGAGCGCAGGCGGUUUCUUAAGUCUGAUGUGAAAGCCCCCGGCUCAACCGGGGAGGGUCAUUGGAAACUGGGAGACUUGAGUGCAGAAGAGGAGAGUGGAAUUCCAUGUGUAGCGGUGAAAUGCGUAGAUAUAUGGAGGAACACCAGUGGCGAAGGCGGCUCUCUGGUCUGUAACUGACGCUGAGGCUCGAAAGCGUGGGGAGCAAACAGGAUUAGAUACCCUGGUAGUCCACGCCGUAAACGAUGAGUGCUAAGUGUUGGAGGGUUUCCGCCCUUCAGUGCUGCAGCUAACGCAUUAAGCACUCCGCCUGGGGAGUACGACCGCAAGGUUGAAACUCAAAGGAAUUGACGGGGGCCCGCACAAGCGGUGGAGCAUGUGGUUUAAUUCGAAGCAACGCGAAGAACCUUACCAGGUCUUGACAUCCUUUGACCACUCUAGAGAUAGAGCUUCCCCUUCGGGGGCAAAGUGACAGGUGGUGCAUGGUUGUCGUCAGCUCGUGUCGUGAGAUGUUGGGUUAAGUCCCGCAACGAGCGCAACCCUUAUUGUUAGUUGCCAUCAUUUAGUUGGGCACUCUAGCAAGACUGCCGGUGACAAACCGGAGGAAGGUGGGGAUGACGUCAAAUCAUCAUGCCCCUUAUGACCUGGGCUACACACGUGCUACAAUGGGAAGUACAACGAGUCGCGAAGUCGCGAGGCUAAGCUAAUCUCUUAAAGCUUCUCUCAGUUCGGAUUGUAGGCUGCAACUCGCCUACAUGAAGCCGGAAUCGCUAGUAAUCGCGGAUCAGCACGCCGCGGUGAAUACGUUCCCGGGCCUUGUACACACCGCCCGUCACACCACGAGAGUUUGUAACACCCGAAGUCGGUGAG
rnacentral:rRNA from 1 species